AAUCUGCGAUAAGCGCCGGUAAGGUGAUAUGAACCGUUAUAACCGGCGAUUUCCGAAUGGGGAAACCCAGUGUGAUUCGUCACACUAUCAUUAACUGAAUCCAUAGGUUAAUGAGGCGAACCGGGGGAACUGAAACAUCUAAGUACCCCGAGGAAAAGAAAUCAACCGAGAUUCCCCCAGUAGCGGCGAGCGAACGGGGAGGAGCCCAGAGCCUGAAUCAGCAUGUGUGUUAGUGGAAGCGUCUGGAAAGGCGCGCGAUACAGGGUGACAGCCCCGUACACAAAAGCGCAUGUGCUGUGAGCUCGAUGAGUAGGGCGGGACACGUGGUAUCCUGUCUGAAUAUGGGGGGACCAUCCUCCAAGGCUAAAUACUCCUGACUGACCGAUAGUGAACCAGUACCGUGAGGGAAAGGCGAAAAGAACCCCGGCGAGGGGAGUGAAAAAGAACCUGAAACCGU
rnacentral:rRNA from 1 species